rnacentral:sRNA from 1 species
UGUGUGUUCUCAAGGGGCUACAUUGCCCUC